rnacentral:lncRNA from 1 species
UUUGGGGAGUUUUGAGUGAAAUUGAAAAUCUAGAACUAUGCAAUACACAAACCACUCCAUUUCAGAGCGAACUUCGUACGAACCUGAAUUGUCCAAUUUCAUGGACCAAUCGAUAUAGGAUUGAGCCCAAAACAUGGGGAACAUCAUAAUGUUGGGGGAGGAGUCAUUUGAGGUGUUUUGAGUGAAAUCCAAUAUCUAGAACUAUGCAAUGCACCAACCAUUCCAUUUUAGAACAAACUUCGUACGAACCUAAAUUGUCCAAUUUCAUGGACCAAUUGCUG